UGAACGCUGGCGGCGUGCCUAAUACAUGCAAGUCGAGCGAACAGAUAAGGAGCUUGCUCCUUUGACGUUAGCGGCGGACGGGUGAGUAACACGUGGAUAACCUACCUAUAAGACUGGGAUAACUUCGGGAAACCGGAGCUAAUACCGGAUAAGAUUUUGAACCGCAUGGUUCAAUAGUGAAAGACGGCCUUGCUGUCACUUAUAGAUGGAUCCGCGCCGUAUUAGCUAGUUGGUAAGAUAACGGCUUACCAAGGCAACGAUACGUAGCCGACCUGAGAGGGUGAUCGGUCACACUGGAACUGAGACACGGUCCAGACUCCUACGGGAGGCAGCAGUAGGGAAUCUUCCGCAAUGGGCGAAAGCCUGACGGAGCAACGCCGCGUGAGUGAUGAAGGUCUUCGGAUCGUAAAACUCUGUUAUCAGGGAAGAACAAACGUGUAAGUAACUGUGCACGUCUUGACGGUACCUGAUCAGAAAGCCACGGCUAACUACGUG
rnacentral:rRNA from 1 species